rnacentral:rRNA from 1 species
GGAUGAACGCUGGCGGCGUGCCUAAUACAUGCAAGUCGAGCGAACGGACGAGAAGCUUGCUUCUCUGAUGUUAGCGGCGGACGGGUGAGUAACACGUGGAUAACCUACCUAUAAGACUGGGAUAACUUCGGGAAACCGGAGCUAAUACCGGAUAAUAUUUUGAACCGCAUGGUUCAAAAGUGAAAGACGGUCUUGCUGUCACUUAUAGAUGGAUCCGCGCUGCAUUAGCUAGUUGGUAAGGUAACGGCUUACCAAGGCAACGAUGCAUAGCCGACCUGAGAGGGUGAUCGGCCACACUGGAACUGAGACACGGUCCAGACUCCUACGGGAGGCAGCAGUAGGGAAUCUUCCGCAAUGGGCGAAAGCCUGACGGAGCAACGCCGCGUGAGUGAUGAAGGUCUUCGGAUCGUAAAACUCUGUUAUUAGGGAAGAACAUAUGUGUAAGUAACUGUGCACAUCUUGACGGUACCUAAUCAGAAAGCCACGGCUAACUACGUGCCAGCAGCCGCGGUAAUACGUAGGUGGCAAGCGUUAUCCGGAAUUAUUGGGCGUAAAGCGCGCGUAGGCGGUUUUUUAAGUCUGAUGUGAAAGCCCACGGCUCAACCGUGGAGGGUCAUUGGAAACUGGAAAACUUGAGUGCAGAAGAGGAAAGUGGAAUUCCAUGUGUAGCGGUGAAAUGCGCAGAGAUAUGGAGGAACACCAGUGGCGAAGGCGACUUUCUGGUCUGUAACUGACGCUGAUGUGCGAAAGCGUGGGGAUCAAACAGGAUUAGAUACCCUGGUAGUCCACGCCGUAAACGAUGAGUGCUAAGUGUUAGGGGGUUUCCGCCCCUUAGUGCUGCAGCUAACGCAUUAAGCACUCCGCCUGGGGAGUACGACCGCAAGGUUGAAACUCAAAGGAAUUGACGGGGACCCGCACAAGCGGUGGAGCAUGUGGUUUAAUUCGAAGCAACGCGAAGAACCUUACCAAAUCUUGACAUCCUUUGACAACUCUAGAGAUAGAGCCUUCCCCUUCGGGGGACAAAGUGACAGGUGGUGCAUGGUUGUCGUCAGCUCGUGUCGUGAGAUGUUGGGUUAAGUCCCGCAACGAGCGCAACCCUUAAGCUUAGUUGCCAUCAUUAAGUUGGGCACUCUAAGUUGACUGCCGGUGACAAACCGGAGGAAGGUGGGGAUGACGUCAAAUCAUCAUGCCCCUUAUGAUUUGGGCUACACACGUGCUACAAUGGACAAUACAAAGGGCAGCGAAACCGCGAGGUCAAGCAAAUCCCAUAAAGUUGUUCUCAGUUCGGAUUGUAGUCUGCAACUCGACUACAUGAAGCUGGAAUCGCUAGUAAUCGUAGAUCAGCAUGCUACGGUGAAUACGUUCCCGGGUCUUGUACACACCGCCCGUCACACCACGAGAGUUUGUAACACCCGAAGCCGGUGGAGUAACCUUUUAGGAGCUAGCCGUCGAAGGUGGGACAAAUGAUUGGGGUGAAGUCGUAACAAGGUAGCCGUAUCGGAAGGUGCGGCUGGAUCACCUCCUUUCUAA